CAUCCAGUGCGUGUAAAAGGUGAGCCAAACCUGACCGAGCUUGUGCACAUUGGCCCUUGCUUUGCUUCUCCUAAAGGUUACCCAACAGCAGCGAAGCCAGCUGUUAACGCGCACACUACCUCCCUCCCUCUCUCUGGAUCAUCGACACACUGUGAUCGUUGUUGUGACUUUUUCAUGUCCGUAUUUGCUUCACGUUGAGCCUCACGUACAAUACCUGAAGAUGAAGUUUUGUUCGUUCGGCUCGCGUUAUGCAGGUACGGGUUGGCAACUGGAAAAGGCACAAACUGUGUUCUAUCGUCACGAGAGCGUAACUGCUGUUAACACUGUCAAGCCUCAGUUGAAGACAAACAGUUGAAGGUUGUUUUUGGUUAGGUUGUUUUAAAAGGUUGUUUUAAUGUGGUUCAAGAGUGCCAGAUGGGUGUGUGAGUCAAGUGAGUCAAAUUGUAGCAAUGAAAGUCUUGAAAAUCCAUCAGUAUUGUAUAUUUCUAAGAAAUACAUCAACCAUGAAGUCAGGACUACUGCUCUGUCUAAGAGGCCUUGAUAAGAAGAGAGUCUCACUAACUGAAGCGCCAGGUGUGUGGCACAUUUCACUGAGCAGAAUGCCUUAUUUGCAUACAGCUGGAACAGGCAAAGCUCUACAGAAAGCCAUGUCAGCCUUGGACAACAGGUUCCUCUGACUACUGGAGACAAUCAUUUAUCCACAGGUGAACUGUAUAAACUCCUAGAAAAGUAACUUAUAUAAAGUUUAUUUGUUGGAUAGGUGACUGUGUCGAGCAAAGAAAGUGUUAUCAGUGGUUUAAAAGUUCCAGUUUAAAUCCAUCAAAUAUUUUCUUGUUUUUACUUGAAAGGUAAAAGACAGAUUAUGACUCACAGCCUCACAUUACUCCAUAUGUUCAUGUAAAACCUGCUUGCUUUGAACACACACACCUGUCUCUACUGUCUCUGUCACUACUGAUAAAGCUGUAACUGAAACUGGCAAAACAUCCAA